AGUGCGCAAGGGCCUUCUAAGUCUGGAGCAUUCUUUUCCAAUGGUUCCUCAGCACUGGUCGCGAUCUCACUAUGAAUAAUGCCCUAGGAACAAAGGAAAGAGACCAGGCCUUCUGCAUGUGUUAUUAUUACACCCCUGAGGUGCCAGGAACAGGACACUGAUGUGGUGGAACACACAACAGCCUUCAAACGGGCUAAUCAAUGGAAGUGGCUUUCGUCCGGCAGCUUUUCACCUUUCAACUUGUGGGAGGAUCUCAAAUGACAGGACAUGAUUACAAGAUUAAGAAGGACUGCCAUUUAAAACUGAGAUAACUAGGUACAAUUUCUGGAAGAAAGUGGUGAAUCACUGAGAUUAACUAACCUGGAAAAGUGUGAACGAGCGAUUGAAGGAAGUACUUUGGUGCAAUUCCCACCUGUAAGGAGUUUGUACGUUCUCGCCAUGACCACAUGGAUUUUCUCCGGGUGCGUCAGUUUCCUACCCACAAUCCAAAGACAUUCCGGUUGGUUCCUUUGAAGACCCUGACCUGGAGUUACACACUGACUUCGGUUCUUUGUGGAAACGGGACCAGCUUUUCAAUAUGUCAAGGGAGCCGGAUUUUCAUGGCUCUGGAGAUGGGCUGAUUCAAGGCCGGAGCUGUUGCCUGAUGUGUCGUGGGAGUAUACGGAUCAGCAAAAGCAGCGAGCUGGUUGUGUGCCCAGAGACCAGAGACCUUUGGGCACAGCACUCGGAAAAAGCAAUGCAACAGACUUUUAACACCAUAAAUCAGCGAGUUUUUUUGUUAUGUCUCCCCUCUCGCUGUGAAAUGGGGACAUCUCUUUUCCCUUGUUAAUGAGGGAGAGAGAGAGAGAGAGAGAGAGAGCCUGUUACAUGUAGAAUACCGGGUGAACGAGUAGUCUUUGGGGUACUGCAAGUCUGUGUCUUUAUUGGUGCUUUGCUGCAUGCUUGAGUGCUCGGUGGGGGGUGCCAAUGCU